GACCUGCGGAAGGAUCAUUACC
rnacentral:rRNA from 1 species